AGAGUUUGAUCCUGGCUCAGGACGAACGCUGGCGGCGUGCUUAACACAUGCAAGUCGAACGAUGAACCUUCCAUGAUCUAUUCGUAGAGAUUGGGAGCGGAUUAGUGGCGAACGGGUGAGUAACGCGUGAGCAACCUGCCUUAAACAACGGGAUAGCCUCGGGAAACCGGGAUUAAUACCGUAUGAGACCCCGCCUUCCCAUGAAGAAGAGGUUAAAGAUUUAUCGGUUUAAGAUGGGCUCGCGUCUGAUUAGCUAGUUGGUGAGAUAAAAGCCCACCAAGGCAACGAUCAGUAACCGGCUUGAGAGAGUGAACGGUCACAUUGGAACUGAGACACGGUCCAAACUCCUACGGGAGGCAGCAGUGGGGAAUAUUGCACAAUGGGGGAAACCCUGAUGCAGCGACGCCGCGUGAGCGAUGAAGGAAUUCGUUUCGUAAAGCUCUGUCCUAGGGGAAGAUAAUGACAGUACCCUUGGAGGAAGCCCCGGCUAAAUACGUGCCAGCAGCCGCGGUAAUGUACUAGACG
rnacentral:rRNA from 1 species